AAUAUUGCUACAAUGGGGGAAACCCUGAUGCAGUCCAUGCCGCGUGUGUGAAGUAAGGCCUUCGGGUUGUAAAGCACUUUCAGUAGGGAGGAAGGUAGUGUAGUUAACACCUGCUAUUAUUUGACGUUACCUACAGAAGAAGCACCGGCUAACUCCGUGCCAGCAGCCGCGGUAAUACGGAGGGUGCGAGCGUUAAUCGGAAUUACUGGGCGUAAAGCGCAUGCAGGCGGCCUGUUAAGUCAGAUGUGAAAGCCCGGGGCUUAACCUCGGAAUUGCAUUUGAAACUGGCAGGCUAGAGUCUUGUAGAGGGGGUAGAAUUUCAGGUGUAGCGGUGAAAUGCGUAGAGAUCUGAAGGAAUACCAGUGGCGAAGGCGGCCCCCUGGACAAAGACUGACGCUCAGAUGCGAAAGCGUGGGGAGCAAACAGGAUUAGAUACCCUGGUAG
rnacentral:rRNA from 1 species